rnacentral:rRNA from 1 species
UACGGGGGGGGUAAGCGUUGUUCGGAAUUACUGGGCGUAAAGCGUGCGCAGGCGGUUUUGUAAGUCUGUCGUGAAAUCCCCGGGCUCAACCUGGGAAUGGCGAUGGAGACUGCAAGGCUAGAGUUUGGCAGAGGGGGGUAGAAUUCCACGUGUAGCAGUGAAAUGCGUAGAUAUGUGGAGGAACACCGAUGGCGAAGGCAGCCCCCUGGGUCAAAACUGACGCUCAUGCACGAAAGCGUGGGGAGCAAACAGG